CAGUCGCCGCGGUAAGACAGAGGAUGCAAGCGUUAUCCAGAAUGAUUGGGUGUAAAGCGUCUGUAGGUGGCUUUUCAAGCCCGCCGUCAAAUCCUAGGGCUCAACCCUGGACAGGCAGUGGAAACUACCAAGCUGGAGUACGGUAGGGGUAGAGGGAAUUUCCGGUGGAGUGGUAAAAUGCGUUGAGAUCGGAAAGAACACCAAUGGCGAAAGCACUCUGCUGGGCCGACACUGACACUGAGAGACGAAAGCUAGGGGAGCAAAUGGGAUUAGAUACCCCUGUAGUCCCUGUCUCUUAUAU
rnacentral:rRNA from 1 species